GAUGAACGCUGGCGGCGUGCCUAAUACAUGCAAGUCGAGCGAACAGACGAGGAGCUUGCUCCUCUGACGUUAGCGGCGGACGGGUGAGUAACACGUGGAUAACCUACCUAUAAGACUGGGAUAACUUCGGGAAACCGGAGCUAAUACCGGAUAAUAUAUUGAACCGCAUGGUUCAAUAGUGAAAGACGGUUUUGCUGUCACUUAUAGAUGGAUCCGCGCCGCAUUAGCUAGUUGGUAAGGUAACGGCUUACCAAGGCAACGAUGCGUAGGCGACCUGAGAGGGUGAUCGGCCACACUGGAACUGAGACACGGUCCAGACGCCUACGGGAGGCAGCAGUAGGGAAUCUUCCGCAAGGGGCGAAAGCCUGACGGAGCAACGCCGCGUGAGUGAUGAAGGUCUUCGGAUCGUAAAACUCUGUUAUUAGGGAAGAACAAAUGUGUAAGUAACUAUGCACGUCUUGACGGUACCUAAUCAGAAAGCCACGGCUAACUACGUG
rnacentral:rRNA from 1 species